UUAGUUUCAGCUUUGCUGCUGCUUUUAGGAGAGUUGGGCUUCUCCUAGUUCAGUGCUUAGAGAUGUGAAAGAAACUCUGAUGUACUCUGGAUCAACAUACCCACAUCAAAAAACAUGCCAGAUGCCUUUUUGGACACUAAUCUACACUUGUGCAACAGGAGUGUCAUCGCUGCAUGCCUUGGAAUGCUGGAGGCGUAGGAGUCGGGCUUGAAAGGAUUAGGCACUGGCAAUAAAUUUUGGCAGUGCCGUGGACUAGGACAUGCUAAUCUGUACAACACAUGCAGCUCGAAUAAACAUGGAAGGGAAGCCUUAAAAAGUUAAAGUCAUUUCCAUGCAAAGCUGACAGUACUUCUGGUUUAUCUGGUCCAUGCAAUCCAGUAGCUUCAUCACUGCACUAAGAAUUAGUCUUUCCUAGGAGGAUUAUUGAUGAGGAUCUGAACUGUGGUAGAGAUGUCUCCAGGCUGACACCGAUGGUCCCACAUUGAUGUACAUCUGGAACAAGUGAGCAGGAAAGAUACAGUGCAACUGCAGUUUGACUCCAUUUUACAGAAGAAGCAUCAGCACAGAGAUGAAACAGCUUUGCCCCAGAGUUACCUCAGCUCAGUGUACCUCUGAAAUGGAGUUUGAAACUGAACACUGACAUUCAGAGACCUAAGUCUGUGGCUGAAUUAUAAGCCUGUCUUAUGUCAUGAGGAUUUAGACAAGAACUGUCACUGGAUAAAAGAAAGGAGAAGCACUGUGAAGCAUUAUACUCUUGCUUUGUGGCGAUUUUUGUACUAUGUGUUCUCUUCUAAUCCAUUUACUCUCACUACCUCCCAGAUCAUCACAUUGAUCUUUCUUGCUCCUACAGACCUUGUGGCUGUGGUUCCCUGGAAAUAUCUGAAGAGCAAUGAGGUUGUGUAAGCAGUAAUGUUCUCCUCAGGCUUUUUGACAGCAGAACUUCAGAGUUAAUCUUAUGGGGCUUAAUUUGUUCAGUUGUUACUUUGUGCAUGCUUUAAGUGCCAGCACUGUGCUGGGUUCUUCUACAUGUUUCUUCUCAUGUGUGAGCAGUGACAUCACUGAAAAGCAAUGGAGUGCCCUGUGCUGUUGUCAGUAACCAUGGUGGUGGGGUCAGAACAAAGUAAAAAAACUCCUCAUUGUUCUCUAAACAGCAUUUGGUGAGAGGAGAGAGGAGGGGUCUUGUGUUUCUCUCUUACUCAUUCCUGCCACUGUAACAGUAUGUCCUCUGCUGGAGGAAGCAGUCACUGGGAUGGAUAGGAGCUGUAGAUUUCCUGUACUAAUCUUUUUGGUACUAAUUUUCUGUACUAAUCCUUUGGUAGAUUCUCAUGAAUUAAGAAGCACGUAUGUCACAGCUGUGGCUGGAUUCCAGUCCAAACCCUUAGUGCUAAGUUUUCUAGGAUUGUCUCUUACUCCUGGCUUAAGUAAAUCAAUCUUUGGUUUUACUGUAUCAGGGGGUAUCAGGUUAAUCUGGUUGCUGUUUUCCAUCAUCCAUGACCACAUUUCUUGCUGGGAAUAGGAACUGUGAAGUGACCUUAAAACUGAGUAUCACUUUUGUACUUCUAAAAUAAUGGUAGCUGUUACUAAAUAUUCUGUUUGUACACCUGAAAGGUCUUUGGUCUACAGAUCACAGAACAGGCCAGUAGAGGGAAUUUUCAUCUGAAAGGUGUCAUGAAGUUUAGCAGAAACAUUUAAUAAGUGAAGUGAUAGGAACAUUAAAUGCUAAUUAAUGGUGUUGCUUGCAUUUUGAGAUCAUUAUUGCAUGGACUGGCUACCUGAUGCAGUAUCACCACCUGAUGCAUGAGGAAGUGAAUCAUCAUUACACAUUUUAUGCCUAAAAAACUCUAAAUGUGAAAGACCUCAGGUAGUUCAGCUAGGGUAUAAAUGAUCUGCAGCAGUGAUUGUGGACUGUAUAGAAUUAUAAUAGUUUCUGUCUGCUAGAAAUGAAUUUCAGGAAAGCACAUGACAUGUUUGGUUCACUUUACUUUUCCUAAUAGAAAAUGAGAGCUUUCAUCAGCCACAGGAAGUUGUGCAUUGAAUGAGGAUUCUUGUCUCGUAGCAGAUGUACUGAUUUGCAUGGGAGUGAGCUAAUUUCCAAUGAUCAGCUCAGAAUGGAUUCAGCAAAUCCAGCUAGUACAUGCCAUUUCCUGCUGAGAAGUGUGGAGGGAGCUGAAAUAAUAUGUGCAAACAUAGAGAAAGGAUAAUGGGUAUAUGUGAAGAGCUUGGCUGAGUAUGUUUAAGCAUUUUGGUCUGGUGGGAUGUUAUAAAUGACUCAGACCCCAGGCAGGAAUGAGUAAAUAAAAUAUAACUAGAACCCGUUAAAGUUACAAAGCAAAGCUCUGAGAGCGUAGUGAGACUCUCUCCUCACCAGAGGCUCGCCCACAAAAUGGCAUGUCCACCUUUUAUAUACUCAAGGUGGAAUCAGCCACAUGAAUAUUCAUGAACAGUCCUGAUAUGUCCUCCCAUCGCCUCCCACAGUCCCUGGCUUUUCCCAUAGCUGUAGAUCUGGCUCCUCCCAAGGUCUGUCAGUCCUCCUGCCUUUCACUGGUGGAGCCUCUCUCACAUCUUGAUGGCUGUGCGGUGUUACCCUGCCAGGCCUCCCGGCACACAGUGCCCCCCACUCACUGCUGCCUCCUGCAAGGGACAAGUGUGUGUCCCCCCCAACAUGUUUUGACAGCUCUGUCAGCCAGAGCUGCCAGGCAGUAACCACAGAAGGGGGAAGGGGAGGAUUGAGGGGAGAACAGAAAAUUGGAACCAAAAUUGGAACUAAAAAACCAAAUUGGAACCACAAAAGUACAUGUCAAAAGAGCUGUAAACCUUAACAGAACUUCCCACCAUACUUAAUAACUCCUCCUUAUUUGCAUUAGCCAAUCACUACACCUUAUUCAUAACAUGGGAUAACUUGUGAUAGAAUGAAAAGUUGCUUCUUAAAGCUGUUUAAUGAGAAUUUGCUAUGAAAUUUGACAUUCUGGAAAAAAAAAAAAUUACCAGUUUUCUCAUAUCUUGGUCUUCAGAUGAGAAAAUAGUCCUCCUUAUAACCAACAAGAAAGGAUAUUGGACGCCUGAUUUUUGUAAGGAGUGUGUGGUGCUCUUGGAUCACUGAACAGUUGCUGCAAAUGCAGAAGAUGAUCAGCCAUAUCACUUGCUGUGUUUCAGCUAGAACUGGACAUCGCCAGGAUUUUAAAAGAUGUAACUGUUUUUGGUUGUGAUGAGACUUAGUUUAACUGGAACAGUUAAAUUGCCUUUUCAGGCUAAUGUUCACCUAGGUUCAAUUUGGUUUGCCCUUUUCUCUGUAACCAAGGCAGAAGCUUGGUUACACUGGAUAUCUAGCUUUCAAAACAUACUUCAUCUGAAUUUCACUGCUUGGAAACAAAAAUAAUUUGUGUGGUUCUUGUUCUUUUGGAGUGUGGAAGUUAUGGCCUGCUUUUCCUCUAGGAUGAGUCACUGAAACAGCCCUUCUCCCUUUUAUGGUGGCAUUCUGGCAAUCCCUUGUUGGGAAAGUCACCCAGGAAAGGACAUACUCUGCUUGUAAGUGAGAGUGGUGUGGCCAGUACAGAAGUUUGUGCUUUGUGGCCAUGGGGACUUCCUGUUUUAUGUUCAGUGUAGUCUCCCACUACUGUUUUCCAUUGCCAGCACUAGAUGUUUAGGGAUCAGCAUCAGGGAUAUCUUAAAUAUUGUCCAAACUUUAAAUAAUUUCCAUUUCUUUGUCCCUGGCAUGUCAUGGUUGGUGUUUCAGUGGACAUGCCUCAAAGGACAGAUGAGGUUUUUGAGCAGAACUUAGAUGUAUUCUCCAGGGAGAAAAAAAAAAAGGUGGUGAAUUUUCAUGUACCAAUAAAAGUGCAAAUGUAUUUUGAUACUAUUCUUGUCAAAAUAAAUGUGACAACCAAUGGAUUCUCAAA